CCUACGGGAUACAGCAGUACGGAAUCUUUCACAAUGGGCGAAAGCCUGAUGGAGCAACGCCGCGUGCAGGAUGAAGGCCUUCGGGUUGUAAACUGCUUUUAUAAGCGAGAAAUAUGAUGGUAACUUAUGAAUAAGGAUCGGCUAACUACGUGCCAGCAGCCGCGGUCAUACGUAGGAUCCGAGCAUUAUCCGGAGUGACUGGGUGUAAAGAGUUGCGUAUGUGGCAUAAUAAGUAGCUAGUGAAAUCUGGUGGCUCAACCAUUCAGACUAUUAGCUAAACUGUUAAGCUCGAGACCGUUAGGGGUAACUGGAAUUUCUAGUGUAGGAGUGAAAUCCGUAGAUAUUAGAAGGAACACCAAUAGCGUAGGCAGGUUGCUGGGACGGUUCUGACACUAAGGCACGAAAGCGUAGGGAGCAAACGGGAUUAGAUACCCUAGUAGUC
rnacentral:rRNA from 1 species